rnacentral:lncRNA from 1 species
AAGAUGUAGCAACACACAAGGCGGUAUUUCCAGGGCUCGGCUAGGAUUGCCAACAGUGGGACCAAGAGGACUUUCACUUGGACUUGACCUGGACUUCUCCCACUCUGGGGAGCUGAACAUGGAGCAGUGCACAGCCCUUGGUUCUCUCUGCAGAAACUCAGAGAUUGCUGCGAGAGGGCCAGAUGGGAGUAAUCUUUUGGGGAAAAGCAUG